UACAGAGGUCUCGAGCGUUAAUCGGAGUCACUGGGCUUAAAGGGGGCGUAGGCGGGCCUGCAAGUGCUUUGUGAAAUCCCAUGGCUUAACCAUGGAAUUGCUUGGCAUACUGCGGGUCUUGAGGUUGGUAGAGGCUGCUGGAACUCUAGGUGGAGCGGUGAAAUGCGUAGAUAUCUAGAGGAACGCCGAUGGUGAAGACAGGCAGCUGGGCCAAAUCUGACGCUGAGGCACGAAAGCGUGGGGAGCGAACGGG
rnacentral:rRNA from 1 species